rnacentral:snRNA from 1 species
ACACCUGCCCUGUGGGAA